rnacentral:rRNA from 1 species
CAAUAGCGUAUAUUAAAGUUGUUGCAGUUAGAACGCUCGUAGUCGGAUUUCGGGGCGGGCCGACCGGUCUGCCGAUGGGUACGCACUGGUCGGCGCGUCCUUCCUUCCGGAGACCGUGCCUACUCUUAACUGAGCGGGGGCGGGAGACGGAUCGUUUACUUUGAAAAAAUCAGAGUGUUGCAAGCAGGCAGCUCGCUCUUGCAUGGAUUAGCAUGGGAUAAUGAAAUAGGACUUUGGUGCUAUUUUGUUGGUUUCGAACACCGAAGUAAUGAUUAAAAGGGACAGUCAGGGGCACUCGUAUUCCGCAGAGAGAGGUGAAAUUCUCAGACCCGCGGAAGACGAACCACUGCGAAAGCAUUUGCCAGGGAUGUUUUCACUGA